rnacentral:lncRNA from 1 species
UGAAAUCUUGUCUGGUCCUAAAGGCUAUAAUGCCCACUCCCAUUCAUGAACAGUUCUGUCAUUAUAGAACCUAGCAAAUUAAAUCAGCUGAACACAGGAGUUUUUGGAGGGUUACAACCAAGAACAUCUUUCUGUUAGAAAAAAUUAAGGCUGUGCUAAAGAUAUAAUUCUUUAAACACUUGCCUCAUCUUACAACACUUCAUGUUAUGUAUAUUUUAAAACAGGAGACACUCAAGUUUUGAAAAUGCAACUUACUCCUUUUCACUUAAUGUAAAUGUAGCCAUGAAUGAAAUAAAUGUUGC